GAGGCCCGCCGCGGUAACGACGGGUAACGGGGAAUCAGGGUUCGAUUCCGGAGAGGGAGCCCGAGAAACGGCUACCACUUCCAAGGAAGGCAGCAGGCGCGCAACUUACCCUAAUCUCGAUUCGAGGAGGUAGUGACAAGAAAUACCGAUGCGGGACCCUACGGGUGCCGCGUUCGGAAUGAGUACGAUUCGAACCACCUAACGAGGAACGAUCGGAGGGCAAGUCUGGUGCCAGCAGCCGCGGUAAUUCCAGCUCCAAUAGCGUACGUUAAAGUUGCUGCAGUUAAAAAGCUCGUAGUUGAACGUUCGGGUUCCGCGGGACGGGGCCGCCCCGCGAGGGACGGCGCCGCCCCGGGGCUCGUGAUAUCUUAUCUCGCCGCCCGUCGCGAGGCGGACGGAGGGAUGGAUGAGGUUACCUGGAAAAAAUCGGGGCGAUCUAGGCGGGCGAACCUCGCCAACGAACGAUCGGACAUGGGG
rnacentral:rRNA from 1 species